rnacentral:rRNA from 1 species
GACGAACGCUGGCGGCGUGCCUAAUACAUGCAAGUAGAACGCUGAAGGAGGAGCUUGCUUCUCUGGAUGAGUUGCGAACGGGUGAGUAACGCGUAGGUAACCUGCCUGGUAGCGGGGGAUAACUAUUGGAAACGAUAGCUAAUACCGCAUAAUAGUAGAUGUUGCAUGACAUUUGCUUAAAAGGUGCAAUUGCAUCACUACCAGAUGGACCUGCGUUGUAUUAGCUAGUUGGUGGGGUAACGGCUCACCAAGGCGACGAUACAUAGCCGACCUGAGAGGGUGAUCGGCCACACUGGGACUGAGACACGGCCCAGACUCCUACGGGAGGCAGCAGUAGGGAAUCUUCGGCAAUGGACGGAAGUCUGACCGAGCAACGCCGCGUGAGUGAAGAAGGUUUUCGGAUCGUAAAGCUCUGUUGUAAGAGAAGAACGAGUGUGAGAGUGGAAAGUGCACACUGUGACGGUAUCUUACCAGAAAGGGACGGCGAACUACGU